GACAGAGGGUGCAAACGUUGUUCGGAAUUACUGGGCGUAAAGCGCGUGUAGGCGGCUAAGCAAGUCGGGCGUGAAAUCCCCCCGCUCAACGGUGGAAGUGCACCCGAAACUGCAUAGCUAGAGUCCUGGAGAGGAAGGUGGAAUGCUUGGUGUAGAGGUGAAAUUCGUAGAUAUCAAGCGGAACACCGGUGGCGAAGGCGGCCUUCUGGACAGUGACUGACGCUGAGACGCGAAAGCGUGGGGAGCAAACAGG
rnacentral:rRNA from 1 species